GAUCAUGGCUCAGGAUGAACGCUAGCUACAGGCUUAACACAUGCAAGUCGAGGGGAAACGACAUCGAAAGCUUGCUUCCGAUGGGCGUCGACCGGCGCACGGGUGAGUAACGCGUAUCCAACCUGCCCACCACUUGGGGAUAACCUUGCGAAAGUAAGACUAAUACCCAAUGAUAUCUCUAGAAGACAUCUGAAAGAGAUUAAAAGAUUUAUCGGUGAUGGAUGGGGAUGCGUCUGAUUAG
rnacentral:rRNA from 1 species